rnacentral:rRNA from 1 species
UCUUGGUUGAUCCUGCCGGACCCUACUGCUAUCGGGUGUGGGACUAAGACAUGCGAGUCGAGCGUCUCUAGCUAUGUUGAGACGCGGCAGACGGCUCAGUAACACGUGGCUAACCUACCCUCAGGACAGGGACAAACCCGGGAAACUGGGGCUAAUACCAGAUAGGCGAGGAUGCCUGGAAUGGUUUUUCGCUCAAAGGACCUUGGAAACAUGCUUUCAAGUCGCCUGAGGAUGGGGCCGCGUCCGAUCAGGUUGUUGGUGAGGUAACGGCUCACCAAGCCUAUAACCGGUACGGGCCGUGAGAGCGGUAGCCCGGAGAUGGGUACUGAGACAAGGACCCAGGCCCUACGGGGCGCAGCAGUCGCGAAAACUCCGCAAUGCACGAAAGUGUGACGGGGCU